rnacentral:lncRNA from 1 species
GAGCUCUGAUUCUCCAUGCCAGAUGACUGUUCUCCGGCCUUGAUCGCUCGCUCUCGGCAUGCCUCAGCGCUUCUCGGAGGCGCAGGCAGUUCCGGUGAUUCUCAUCUCCGAUUCCAGAUCAGCGCCGACGGGAUCGUCUCUGUUUUCUGUGAGUUUCGCCCCUAUUUUUGUGGAUCCUUUGAUCUUCUUGUUGUUCUUCUUUGGAAGAUCUUCUAUCGGCUUAGUGUUGUGCCUGCUAGUUUUGUGGAAACUUCGCGGCGCGGUUCAACUGUCUCCUCCUCGUCCGGAAGACCUAGCGCCGGAUGCGAUUGGGGUUGGAGGAUGGGACUCUCUCCCUCAUCCUGACAUUUUUCUGCUUGAUAUCUGAUUGGAAGACUUGUUGUUUCGCCGUUUGGAGAGUUUCUCGUCUGUUCUGCUCCCGGAAUGUUGGAAUCCCUUGGUUUUUUAGGGUUGAUAGCCAUGGGAGCUCCUUUCUGGAGACAUCAAGGCUUUACUAGAAUUGUCGCAGGCGUGUGUAUCCCUUGGUUUGGUGCUGGGAGGAACAGGUUCCUCGCCCAUCUUGCUUCUCCCGGUGCAUUUCAUAUGGCCCUGGAAAUUCCCCAAGAGGAAGUUGUGACCCGUCGGCGCACAUUUGAGUAGUCCGAGAAUGGGUGUGUGAAGAACCGAAAGCCCUUUGGACCAUGACACAGCUUCCAAGUUGGUAGGAACUUUUCUCUUUGAAUGCUGUGAUCCUCUCCCCUGAAAAGAUCAGCAGAUUUGGAGGACUUAUUGUGCUCCGUAAUCCUCUCUGAAGCUAGUUCUUUUGUCAUUCUAGCCAUGGCGAUGAAUUUUGGUCAACCCUUGAGCCUACCUAUCUAGCACAGGAGAGGAGGC